ACCCCAGAGUGCAGUCUGGACGAUGGGGCGGGGCGACACUUCGAGGCGGACACGUGUCGCCCCGCCCAUAUUUGUUUUCCCCGCCUUUGACAUUUUCCUCCGAGCCAGCAGGGGGCAGUUUGCGUUGAAACUAACAGAACGGUGGCAACUACAGCAGCAGAGUAAUAACGCUAUUCCGUUGAUUGCUUGAGGAUGACAUGAUCAGGAGGUGGUGGUGUUCUGUUCUCCUGGACAGCUUUACUCCGCAAAUAGCUCAACCACUGAGGAGAACUUCACCAUUCACCAUGUCUUCAGGCAGAGUCCAGCAAAGCAGCUUCCACUGGAAAUCCUCAGGGAAGUUAUUUUGUCGGCGGGUGACUCUGCAUAUUUGACACUUUCUCUGGUUUGCAGAUGGUUUAGGGAUGUGCGCCGAAGUUUUUCGGAAAGUGGCACAGUUUGUCUGGCUAGACAGUAAGAUUUCCCCGUUUAA